CCGAAGCGCUUAAAGGCCGUUUUCUGGCGGAGAGGAUCCGGGGCAAAAUGCUUGCGCUGAGGCUGCGAAGCCAGCUCUGAGCCAGGGAAGCCUCUAAGCGCAAGCGCUGGCGAGCAGUUCUGUACAAGCUUGUUUUCAUCACUUACCAGACCCGAGUUGUGGCUCGCAGAGGGUUUUUUCUUUUCCGUUGCUGUCCUUCCUCACUGAAGUGGAAGCAGUGAGCCAGGAAGGUAGCCUAAGUUCGGAGCUCCCGUUGAGGAUUUUCUGCUUAGAGCUCACAAAUGGACUGUUUCUCAACAUUAUUUGUGAAGCGUGGAGUCCAAAAUAGCAGUUCAAAAGAGUCAUAUGAGUAUCUCCAGUCUUGCUCCUCUCUGAAUGUGAUUUGUUUUCUUUUUUUUUCAACAGCAUCUGAAUUUUAUUUUUCAUUCUAGAUUGCUAUUCUAGAUGGCUACUACCCAAAUGUAUCUAUAUGUUUGGUAUCUCUUUAUUAAGCACUGUUUUUCCCUUUGCUAAAUUUCAGUAGUUUUGAUCAGGGCCACUCAGUUUGUCAAACAUUUGAUUGUUUUCUUUUUAUUCCAUCUCAGCCAUUUUGUUACCCAGGUUAUUCAUAAAAAUACUGAAUAGGUCUUCCCUGGACAGGACAGAGCGUUGGAAAGCGGCAUGUGAAAUUUUCUCCUGCUUUAAAAACCCUUUACACACGGAAGAAAGCCACUUUCCCAUUAUUUUAUGUACAAGAAGUGAAGUUUCAAUAUAAAUCUUUGUUAAUUAACAAUUCCUAUGCAGAAUGAGUUUUCUCAGAAAAACAGGGGUUUGCCUUGUUUCCUAUGGAGGUCAAGGUUCUGUUUUCACAUAUCCGUCUAUGGGGGAGGUCUGCCUCUAUGUUCCCUGUCCUAAUAAUGAUCAUGAAAGCUGGCAUUUGGACGGAGUAGAGUACCUUGGCUGAAGGAAAAGCUGCACUUGGGGUCAGCGGUUAAACCCAAUCAAGAAUUCACACUAAAACAAGUUUUCCUAAGUGCUCCCUCUAUAGGUAAGUCCUUCAGCUGGCGUUCACGCUCUUCACAUGGGUUUGUGUGACCUCAACCACAGGAAACAAAGCUGCAGGAAACCAGGCUGCAAGCAGCUUUGCCAGAUGGAUCAGACCUCUGCCCAGCAGCCCUCACUUCUCAAAGAGGGUCCCAUGGAUGUGAAGGCUAAAGCCCAUUCUGUUACACCAGUCACACUGACAGGUAUUGACUCAGUCUCCUCUCCUACAGGACCCUCUCCCUUGGCUGUAAUGGGAAAUACGAAGGAGAACUGUGUGGGCUUCUGUGUCCUUCAUCUUCUCCUCCAGAGCCCUGCAGUCACUCAUGACAUGCUCCAAAUCUCUGCUGGUACUAUCAGAUAUUCCUACACGGUUGAGCCACAAAGGGUGUUACUCUGAGGGCUGGUCAAGCCUUGGCAAUCUCUCCUCAACAUCCCAGGGUAAUAAGUUUCAAGUGUAUUUGAUGGGGACAGACUUUUUAAUAGGGCCUGUAGCGACAGGACAAGGGGUAAUGGUUUUAAACUAAAAGAAGGUAGAUUCAGACUACAUAUAAGGAAGAAAUGUUUUUGCAAUGUGGGUGGUGAAACACUGGAACAGGUUUCCCAGAGAGGUGGUAGAUGCUCCAUCCCUGGAAGCAUUCAAGGUCAGGUUGGACGGGGCUCUGAGCAACCUGAUGUAGUUGAAGAUGUCCCUGAUCAUUGCAGGGGGGUUGGACUAGAUGACCUUAGGUCCCUUCCAACCCAAACCAUUGUGUGAUGCUAUGAUUCCGUGAUUCUGUUUACCUCACUGAUGGGAUUUGGUCACUUUUAGUUUCCAAACUAUGUGAUCUUCUAGAUUUCACGUUUGACACAAGCAGAAUUGGCCUGGAGUGAUUGAAUUAAAUCUGAUCAGAAAAGGGAAUUUCCUUUUUCUAAAAGUGCAGAUUGCUGAUGGGGAGAAAAUACAGACACUGCAGAAUUUCCAGUGAAAUGAGUGGGUAUCCUUACUACCACUGCUUAGCCAUCGAACAGCCUGCUGAUGUGACUGACAGUUCAGAGAGAAGGCAGCCCUACCUGUUUCUGCUUUGGCAGCCUGGGGCAUUUGGAAGCAUCAGCAAGGGCUCAGAUGUAUUUGGUCUCUUUUUUGGUCUUCUGUGGAUAGAAAUCUGUGUUCCCCUCCUCUAACACCUCCAUUGAUGUCUUUUGGUGGCUGUAGAAAGUAAGGAACUGUCUAAGACUCUGGAAGUCAGCAGAGUUGCUAAAGGAUUUGAGUUGAGGAAAUCUUAGUGUCAGCACCGCAGAAAUGAUCUUCUUCCAGCAAGAUAUUAGCAGAUAACCUACCCUACAUUUUUGUCUAAAAGCACAUUAGUUAAACUUCAUUAAACCUUUCUUCCAGAAUUAAUUUGGCAUAGCUUAAUUUACUUUUGAGUUUAAGGCCACUUCAGAUUAAGAGUAGUUUCAUUCUGAGUAAGCGUCUGCACAGGAAUUUAGUUAAUCCACAUCAAAUUAAUUCUGAUUUAUAUACUUGAAUACACUCUGUUGACAGGCUCAGUGUUAACAGGACAGCUAGCAGCCGAUCCAAACACACAGUGAGCGACUAUUCCCUAAUAGCAAUGUCUGGUAAUUCUAGUGAAAAUGCUUGUAGCUAAACCAUAGCUAAAAUGAUGUUAAUAGGCUUUAAGUUCCUACUGAAAAAAUUUAAAAUUUAUCAAACCAAAAUAGCACAAAACUAGAGGUUUAUUUCUCUUUUAAGUACUUCUUCAUUGUGCAUUCCACUGAAUAAGCUCCAUCUUAAGUAUUUUAAAUUAGAAGAUGUUUUACUUUAACAAAUACAUAUGUAGGCUCCUUUUGUAUUCAGCCUUUGUGGAUGUAGAAGGCAAAACAUGCUUCUGCAUGUAUUUCCCUUCAUUUAACAGUAAAUUUCAGAACUCCAGCCUUCUUAAGGUUAUUUGAGCAGUUUCCCUCGCUUGUCUUCAGGCUGUGAAGGUCACACCAAAGCUGUUAUGUCUCACAUGAGCUGUGCCAUCAUAGCCUUACAUCGUAAGCUAGAAAGUCUUUAAUUCCACAGAUCAGAAGGUGGGCAAGUGUUAAGUUUUUUCUCGUCAUUCAGCUUCCUAUAUCCAUUCACACACUGGCUGAGAAAGGUAAACAGUACAUCCUAGAAAGGCAAAAACCCCAAGAUAAUGAAUUGUAAUACGGCAACACCCCCCACCCCAUCAGCUUGCAUUCAUUUCAGACAGCAAAUUAUUAGGUGUUCAACUUCUACAUGUUUAUUGAGAGUAUCUUGUUGCUCUGAUCUUGAGAUAUCAAGUAGUACAAAAUUUUGGAUGUCAAGGAUUCUGUCUUAUGUUUCAUGGCAAUAAUUAUAGGAGGAAAGUAAUUCUCCUGGUUCCAAGAUGCCGUUUAUUUUUCAUCAGAUUUCUCUUUGGCGGAGGGUUUCUUCUUUUAUACUUCUACAGUUUACUGCUAUACCACUUAAAAAAGGGGGUUUUCAAUUAUUUCUAGUCCACAAAAGGAAAGAAGAGUUGUAUUGCAUCUUGACUUAAGGAGGCUCUUGUCUGCUAAAACUUAAAUUCAGAUGAUAUCACUAGCCACUGUAAUUCCAUCUUUUUUAAUAGUGAAGCUUGUUUAGUUUUACAGCCUUCACGUCAUCAUAAUUACUUAGCAUAGAAAAUGCUUGCAGUUUUCAGCAGUGCUGAGCCUUCAUCACCAUAAGGCUUGCCCUGUGGUGUGUUGACAGUCCUCUUCUCCAAGGCCUUUUCCUAUUUAGCAUUUUUUCCCUGCUAUGUUUCUCAAUCCUAUUUGUAUUUUUUUCAGAAUGAUCUUUAUUUAUUUUAUGUCGUCAAAAAAUACAUGAAAAUUGACAAAAUGACCUUCUGGGUAACAAUUUCAGUCAUGGUAUUUUUUCCCAUGUUUUCAAAAGGUAAGAUGACCAGUAUCUUUGCAGAACUCUUUGGUACUGUAGGAAAAAAAUACACAGUAUAUAGUACUCCCUAGUAUGAGCACAGAGUGGUCCACAAACUAUGAAAAGUAAUUUAGUGAUUCAGAAAUAAAACAGAACUUGCUCCUUUUAGGAAAUCAUCAGCCCUGUAACAACUGGCUAAGGUGAUAUAACAACAGAGUCAGCAUGGUAGCUUAUGCCCAGUGGGGACUGGGAGCCUACUCCUAGUACUACUUCUACUAGUUUUCUUUGACAGAGGCAACGGAGGAGCAUACAGGGAAGAGCCUAAAUUAAUUUUUCCAUGAGCAACAGUAAUGUGGAAGUUUUCCAUAGUUCUUCUUGCCAUGCACAUCAACCCAGCUGCAUGAUAGGGAAAAGCAGAACUGUCCCUGACAAAAAGAGAGGAGCAUACAGCAUAAAUUCUUUCUGCAUUAGCAGUCAGGCCAUAGCCAUCCUGUCUGUUGUGUAUACUCUGUGUAACAUAGAGUUAAUCAGUCUUUACUUACUCACUAAAUGGGGUGCUUCCAUGGUGCAUCACACUUAACUAUGCUGAAGGUAUGCAAUAAAGUUAUGCCAUGUAUUGGGAAUGCAACUUGUCUUGGCACAGAAAAAAACAAAACAGCCAUCCUUUCCCAGACAGGUAUGGCAGCACUAAUCUAAUUCACGUGAGUUAGACUAAGUAGAGAUCAAAGUAUUUGUAUCCUGAUAACUCAAAGCAAGGUAUUAAAACAGUUCCCUUAAGUGAAAGCAAUGAAAAUGUAUAGUUCCUCUAGUAUAAUGUCAGUUGAAGCAAAGAGAAAACACAGAGAAAAGUUUAUGACAAUUUUAAUAUUUAUGUCUAACAAAAAUGAAGGAAAUGAUGCAAUAUCCAGUUUAAGUAGUACAAUGUCACAUAUAAAAUAAAAACAACUGUUUUGGAAAAAAUAUGUUGAUUACUGUAGACAAUGAAAGGAAGAAGAGAAGAGAAAGAAAACGGAAAGGUAAGUACAGAUCAAUUAUACAAAUGGACUGGUUUCCAAAACAAACGGGUCAUACAGAGAUUCAUAGGCUUGUUAACAUUUCCUAGUAGAUUCAUCCCUAAUUUGUCUGUAUUAAGACUGCUUCUCUUUCCACUUUUACUGGAAAGAAAAAUUGUAAUUGGGACUUUUUGGAGCAUGAACUGGUUGGGUUUGCUGAACAUUCCAUCUACUCUGUGGCUCAUUCUUUCAGCUUUCAUCCUUAUAAGUUGGAUUUUCUGUCAGUAAUUUGCAUUUGAAUUAUGAAAAAUUACUGAAGAUUUCAUUGUACUUUCUUACAUGAAAAUUUUGCUAUAAUGACAACAAGCAUGGAUAUUUUGUUUUACAUAAGUCAAUUUAGAACAUGGAAUUGUCCCAUUGUUUGGAAUAGUUCAGUAGUUCAGCUUUACAAGGGCUAAGUUCACGAGUGUCUCUUAAAACAUGCAAACAUUUUAUCCUACACCUCAGAUAAAGAUCAAAUAGUUUUAAAUACCAUACUUGCAGUAAGCAGAUGUUUGACUUUAUGUUGUGAGUUGAGUAAAUUCCAUGCAUUUUUUUAUAUAUAAGUUGGGCUCUGCCUUUUCUGCCAAAGGAAUUACAGAGGUCUAACUGAUGCUUAGUAAUGCAUGUGAUCUACCUGAGUUUUAGAGAAAAGUAGACUUGAACAGGUAAGCCAGCCAGUAAGAAAUAGUACUUUGCUGAGCCUUAUUUUAAGGUAAUUAUCUUGAUCAGAAUUGAAAUUCUGUUAAUUCUGUCUAUUGAAUGGGAAAAAAUGAAAUGACAAAUUUAACUCUCAUGAGUGCAGUUCUGUGAGGGGAAAAAUACGUUACCUAUUAUAUGUUUAUUCAGAACAAAUUCCUGUGGUUAGUAUCAUAUUUGAUAAACAGAAAUUAUAUAAAUCUGAAGAAAGCUGUGACUCAGUAUACAUGCUGGUUUAUAUUUAGGAUAAAUGUGAAACAAAAUGAUGUGCUAGAGAGGAUUCAAAGCACUUUUGGCCAAAGUACUGCCACAGACUGGAAGACAUACAAGGUGUAUCUCUGUGGCAUUAAAACACUUUGGAAAUGUACAUGUGAUGUAUCGGGAAUAAAUGGGAAUAACAACAUUAUUUCAGAAUUUUAGUAUCUUUAAAAUUGACACAAAGAAAGAUAUACUCAUCGUUCCUCAAACCUCCUUCAAAUCAUAUGCAUGAAGCACUAGAUGUUACUAUUAAAACUGUAACCGUGCUUUCCAGGAAAUAAAUACAGCUGUCUGCAGUAAAGGUU